UAGAAUGAAGUCUUAGACAGAAGGAAAUGAUUUCCUGCUUCCAAGUUGGUGACCAAUCUAGAUAUUAAAGCUACAAAUGACUUAUAUUGUAUUUCAGCAGAUUACAUUUAAUUAAUUAGUAAAAGGAAAACACAAACAGAUGAAAGACUUUUUCUGGAGUAUGAUUGACAAGGAAAAAACAAAUGAUACUGAGUGAUGGUAUGAGGGAACUUUCAGCAAAGCAUACAGAAAGGAGGAAGUAAUCACAGAUAAAGCCAACCAAUAUAAAGAUAGAGUCUUGAAGAAGACAAGAACGUUUUUGUUAAAAGUGAAUACAGGAACUAGUGGCUUCUGGACAGAGGUGGGAGGAAGAAUUACUUUUCAUUAUGUACCAUGUUGUAUCUUUUGGAUUUAUAUGUCAUAUGCAAGUAUUAACUAUCCAGAAAAUAAUUAUGUGAAAUUUACAGAAUAUGGAUUGGAAUAAGAACUCCUUCUUGACCCCUGUGUUUGGUAUGGAAGUCAAAGUUGAGACUGAAGAGGAGUGAUAAAAAUUGUGACAAAUAAAAAAGGGAAGUAAAUAUGGGAUGAUGAGCCUAUUGAUGCCAAAAAAGGCAAUUCUCCAAUUUAAGGGCACCAAAGAGGAAGAUAUAAGAACCUAAAAGGCAGUGGGUCAGAAAGCACACUUAAGUCUAAGGACUCAGUGGAGUGGUGCUGGGUAGGAGGGUGAAAUUUGGAUGGGAGGCUGUUGCAAAAAAUGAGAAAGAGUACGUGACCAUCUGUAUGUAUCUGUUAUUAUCUCCUUGAUCUAAGCUUCCCUCUCUUACUGUGGUCAUGCACCCACAUCUCAGGGGUUCCACAAAUGUAACAGUCCCCGUCCUUGGAAAAAAUUGUACUAUCAGUUAUUUGCAUGCUUGAGCUUGUGAGUGUGGUAUCAGUAGGGUCCCCAAGAUGGCAAUGACAGCAGAGCAGGAAAGUAAUUGUUUUACAGAAAUCUGUUUCUUUCUAUUUCUGCAUUCUGUUUCUAGGGUCAAUGCAAGUAUAUUUGCAGUUGAAUGGAACAGAGCUUCUAGGAAAUAAAAAACAGAUGUUGGAGGAAGGCAUUCAGGAUGCUGGAAUUCCCAACUCUGCCUAGGCUGCACCAAGGCUGUAGUGGAUUUAAAAAUGUCAAACUACACUGACUCCCAAGCCUGAAUGUCCUGUGGAAAGAAAAGAAUAGUUUGGCUGAUCUCAUAAAGAGUACCCUUAGGCAAAGGAACAUAUUCUUCCUGAUUCACUUCUCAGAUGUAGAGAAAUAUGGACAUAUAAACUACUUUGGGUUAUUUUUGAGAGGCGGGUGAGAGGCAGAGAGAGAGGGAGAGAGUGGAUCCAAAUGGGCUCUGCACUGACAGCAGACAGCCUGAUGUGGGGCUUGGACUCACGAACUGCAAGAUCAUGACCUGAGCCAAAGUUGGACAUAACCAACUGAGCCACCCAGGUGCCCCUACAUUUCUUUUGAAUAAAGGUUUUGUUGAAAACAGUAAACAUGCGUUAAUUGUCAUUCUUUUACAAUACUUCAUUGUGGACAGCUUCCUUGUAUCGUGGGAAAUACAAAAAGUAUGAAAGGUACUCCAAUUACAUAUCUAUAUACCUAUUUAUGAAUGAUUCUUUGCCUGAAACCCAACUGUUUGGUUAUUUAUUGCUGACAAACAGCCCCAAAACUUAAC